rnacentral:tRNA from 1 species
GCGCACGUGGCGGAAUUGGUAGACGCGCUGGCUUGAGGGGCCAGUGUCCAUUAGGAUGUGGAGGUUCGAAUCCUCUCGUGCGCA